GAAUUCGCCCUUAGAGUUUGAUCCUGGCUCAGGAUGAACGCUGGCGGCGUGCCUAACACAUGCAAGUCGAGCGAUUCUCUUCGGAGAAGAGCGGCGGACGGGUGAGUAACGCGUGGGUAACCUGCCCUGUACACACGGAUAACACACCGAAAGAUAUGCUAAUACGAGAUAAUAUGCUUUUAUCGCAUGGUGGAAGUAUCAAAGCUUUUGCGGUACAGGAUGGACCCGCGUCUGAUUAGCUAGUUGGUGAGGUAACGGCUCACCAAGGCGACGAUCAGUAGCCGACCUGAGAGGGCGAUCGGCCACAUUGGAACUGAGACACGGUCCAAACUCCUACGGGAGGCAGCAGAAGGG
rnacentral:rRNA from 1 species